CCGGGUAUGGUGUAAUGGUAACAUCGUCGACAAACUUCCCCGAAUCGGCCGCUCGGGGUUCAAAUCCUCGUACCCGCA